UAUUUUGGAUGACUGUAAUUCAUACUUAUACAGUUAUUUUCUACUCCUAACUGCUUUCUAGUAUUAUAAUAUGUUGCAUUCCAUUUGGUAUGAAUUAUACACAUAUUUUGGGAUGUUACAUAUUCCAUAUUAUUUUUGAAAAAAAAAAGAAAAAAAAAAGAAAAAUAAAAAGAGAAAGAAACAAAAAACGAAAAAGAAAAGAAAAGAAAAAAGGCUCGAAGCCUGGGCAUCCAAAACUGUCACCCAAGCUCGACAUGAACCCCAAUUCACGCUUCGGUGAGCUCCCUACAACGCUUGAGCGUGAUUUCACGUGGAUCGGGCCCUGAUUCUGCUCUGAUUUGAUUCUUUCGGACCACUUUGCGACGCAUCUAACACUAUUUAAAGGACCCUGGGGCUCUAGGAUUUGCAUCCCUGGCAGAAGAGAACAAUGCAAUACACUCCUAGCC
rnacentral:lncRNA from 1 species